CCUACGGUUGGCUGCAGUGGGGAAUAUUGGGCAAUGGACGCAAGUCUGACCCAGCAACGCCGCGUGAAGGAAGAAGGCUUUCCGGUUGUAAACUUCUUUUAGGGGGGAGGAGCAAAAGACGGUACCCCUUGAAUAAGCCACGGCUAACUACGUGCCAGCAGCCGCUGUAAUACGUAGGUGGCAGGCGUUGUCCGGAUUUACUGGGUGUAAAGGGCGUGCAGCCGGAGAGACAAGUCAGAGGUGAAAUCCACGGGCUCAAACCGUGAACUGCAUUUGAAACUGUUUCCCUUGAGUGUCGGAGAGGUAAGCGGAAUUCCUUGUGUAGCGGUGAAAUGCGUAGAUAUAAGGAAGAACACCAGUGGCGAAGGCGGAUUACUGGACGACAACUGACGGUGAGGCGCGAAAGCGCGGGGAGCAAACAGGAUUAGAUACCCUUGUAGUC
rnacentral:rRNA from 1 species